rnacentral:rRNA from 1 species
GAUGAACGCUGGCGGCGUGCCUAAUACAUGCAAGUCGAGCGAACAGACGAGGAGCUUGCUCCUCUGACGUUAGCGGCGGACGGGUGAGUAACACGUGGAUAACCUACCUAUAAGACUGGGAUAACUUCGGGAAACCGGAGCUAAUACCGGAUAAUAUAUUGAACCGCAUGGUUCAAUAGUGAAAGACGGUUUUGCUGUCACUUAUCGAUGGAUCCGCGCCGCAUUAGCUAGUUGGUAAGGUAACGGCUUACCAAGGCAACGAUGCGUAGCCGACCUGAGAGGGUGAUCGGCCACACUGGAACUGAGACACGGUCCAGACUCCUACGGGAGGAAGCAGUAGGGAAUCUUCCGAAAUGGGCGAAAGCCUGACGGAGCAACGCCGCGUGAGUGAUGAAGGUCUUCGGAUCGUAAAACUCUGUUAUUAGGGAAGAACAAAUGUGUAAGUAACUAUGCACGUCUUGACGGUACCUAAUCAGAAAGCCACGGCUAACUACGUG